CCAUUAAAGCGGUACGCGAGCUGGGUUCAAUACGUCGUGAGACAGUAUGGUCCUAAUCCGUCGUGGGCGUAAGGAUAUUUGAGAGGAGCUGCUCCUAGUACGAGAGGGCCGGAGUGGACAAACCUCUGAUGUACCAGUUGUGGCACCAGCCGCAUUAGCUGGGUAGUCAAGUUUGGAAGGGAUAAAUACUGAAAGCAUAUAAGUAUGAAGCCCCCCUCAAGAUUAGAUAUCCAAUCCUGAAGGUUUUCAGUGCCCUUUGGGGUAUUGAUUUCUGGAGGGAGUAAGACCUCUCCGAGAAGAGGAGGUUGAUAGGCCAGGGGUGUAAGGCCCAUAAGGGUUUUAGCUGACUGGUACUAAUAGGUCGAGGGCUUAACCAC
rnacentral:rRNA from 1 species